CCUACGGGCGGCAGCAGUGGGGAAUAUUGGACAAUGGGGGCAACCCUGAUCCAGCCAUGCCGCGUGUGUGAAGAAGGCCCUCGGGUUGUAAAGCACUUUCAGUGAGGAAGAACGCCUGGUGGUUAAUACCCAUCAGGAAAGACAUCACUCACAGAAGAAGCACCGGCUAACUCCGUGCCAGCAGCCGCGGUAAUACGGAGGGUGCGAGCGUCAAUCGGAAUUACUGGGCGUAAAGCGCGCGUAGGUGGCUUGAUAAGCCGGUUGUGAAAGCCCCGGGCUCAACCUGGGAACGGCAUCCGGAACUGUCAAGCUAGAGUGCAGGAGAGGAAGGUAGAAUUCCCGGUGUAGCGGUGAAAUGCGUAGAGAUCGGGAGGAAUACCAGUGGCGAAGGCGGCCUUCUGGACUGACACUGACACUGAGGUGCGAAAGCGUGGGUAGCAAACAGGAUUAGAUACCCCAGUAGUC
rnacentral:rRNA from 1 species